UUUCGGCAGUCUCCCGCCCAGGUCGCCUCAGGCCAGCCCCACUCCACUGUUCCCGCCGGACUUGAGGAGACUUGGCAGGUGAGGACCUGGUCCUGACGUCAGACGCCGCUUAAGGUGUUUCUGGAAGUUGGAAGACACUUCCCAUGAAGUAAGAAAGUUAUCCCAGCAUCAUCAAAUGGGAAAAUAUGGAUGGAGCAUAUAGAAGAUGAUAUACCAUAUCGUUGCAGUAUUUUAAAGCAAGUGAAAUAUGGAUAAAAUGAACACCAAGAACAGCAAUGAAUGGAGAAUGAGUUCAUGACAUGUAACAGCACCCUUCCACCACCACUAGCAUCUCAUAGAAUUGAAAAUCAGAACAAAGGGGUGAGAAGAGAUCAACAGAACGCAGGACCUGACCUGUUUGUGAAGAAUGACAGAUAUUUUCCGAGAAAUCUUCAGAUCAACCUGGAUCCAAUUUUCUUAACUCAUAAAUGGUUUUUGAGCACACAGUGGAUGGUGGACAUUUAUAUUAUGUCUCCUUACAAGCAGACAACGUCAUACAGAAUCAGCGAGAGCUUCUUGCUGCCUUGAAAGAUUUUAUUUAUUUGAGAGAGAGAGAGAGAGAGAGCACGCACAACGGGCAGCAGCAGCAGAGGGAGAGGGAGAAGCAUCGAGCAGGGAGCCCGAUGCAGGGCUCAAUCCCAGGACCCUGAGAUCACGACCUGAGCCGAAGGCAGACACUUAACCGACUGAGCCAUCCAGGUGCCCCAAUUUACUAGAUUUUUAAAUGUAUUGUAAUAUUUUAAGACACUGAAAUAGCUGCUGAAAAUCCGUAUUUGAAUAAAAUUCUGUGUUUGUAGUGUUAGACAACAUUAUGGUAUCAUCAGAAUGCUAUGUACUCAAAUUUCAAAUUCAAUUUUUGGGCCCUGUUAAAAUAAUCACAAGAAUAAUCUCUGAUAGUUUAUGACUGAAGGGCACAAAUGAUAGACUAAGCUAAUUAAAUUAGUGAUUUUUUUUUUUACCCAAUGAAAUAGAUUAAUACAGGCUAUUCCUUUGAUUAAUGGAGACCAAAAUAUUUUAUUGUUUCUCAAGAACAAAAUUUCUAUCUGAAGCAUCCAGUUACCCUAACC